rnacentral:rRNA from 1 species
UACGUAGGGUGCAAGCGUUUGUCCGGAAUUAUUGGGCGUAAAGAGCUCGUAGGCGGUGUGUCGCGUCGGCCGUGAAAAACCUGGGGCUCAACUCUGGGCGUGCGGUCGAUACGGGCAUCACUUGAGUUCGGCAGGGGAGACUGGAAUUCCUGGUGUAGCGGUGAAAUGCGCAGAUAUCAGGAGGAACACCGGUGGCGAAGGCGGGUCUCUGGGCCGAUACUGACGCUGAGGAGCGAAAAGCAUGGGUAGCGAACAGG